rnacentral:rRNA from 1 species
UCGACGGAUGUAGCAAUACAUCAGUGGCGGACGGGUGAGUAAUGCAUGAGCAACCUGCCCUAUGCAGGGGGAUAACACAAAGAAAUUUGUGCUAAUACCGCAUAAGCCCACGAGGGGGAAUCCUCAUGUGGGAAAAGAUUUAUCGGCAUAGGAUGGGCUCAUGUCCCAUUAGGUAGUUGGCGGGGUAACGGCCCACCAAGCCCGCGAUGGGUAGCCGACCUGAGAGGGUGAUCGGCCACACUGGAACUGAGAUACGGUCCAGACUCCUACGGGAGGCAGCAGUGGGGAAUAUUGGGCAAUGGAGGCAACUCUGACCCAGCAAUGCCGCGUGAGCGAAGAAGGUCUUCGGAUUGUAAAGCUCUGUGAAGAGGGACGAAAAAAUGACGGUACCUCUAGAGGAAGCCACGGCAAACUACGUGCCAGCAGCCGCGGUAAUACGUAGGUGGCAAGCGUUGUCCGGAAUGACUGGGCGUAAAGGGUGCGUAGGCGGUUUGCCAAGUUGGAAGCGUAAUCCCGGGGCUUAACUCCGGUGCUACUUCCAAAACUGGUGAACUUGAGUGUGGGAGAGGUAAGUGGAAUUCCUAGUGUAGCGGUGGAAUGCGUAGAUAUUAGGAGGAACACCAGUGGCGAAGGCGGCUUACUGGACCAUAACUGACGCUGA